GAUGAACCCUGACAGAAUGCUUAACACAUGCAAGUCAACUUGAACUUCGGUUUGGGUGGCGGACGGGUGAGUAACGCGUAAAGAACUUGCCUCACAGAUAGGGACAACAUUUGGAAACGAAUGCUAAUACCUGAUAUUAUGAUUAUAUGGCAUCGUAUAAUUAUGAAAGCUAUAUGCGCUGUGAGAGAGCUUUGCGUCCCAUUAGCUAGUUGGAGAGGUAACGGCUCACCAAGGCGAUGAUGGGUAGCCGGCCUGAGAGGGUGAUCGGCCACAAGGGGACUGAGACACGGCCCUUACUCCUACGGGAGGCAGCAGUGGGGAAUAUUGGACAAUGGACCAAGAGUCUGAUCCAGCAAUUCUGUGUGCACGAUGAAGUUUUUCGGAAUGUAAAGUGCUUUCAGUUGGGAAGAAAAAAAUGACGGUACCAACAGAAGAAGUGACGGCUAAAUACGUG
rnacentral:rRNA from 1 species